CCUGUACAUUGUCCGGUUCCAGCAGAGCCCCUGCAGCAGGGCAACUGGGUGACGGUGAGGCAGCGUAGUCGUGGGUCAAAACACCGCUCUUCUGUUCCGAUCAAAACAUUAAACAGGUUCUCCCCACUCAGUGAUGCACCCACUGAGAAACCUGAUGAAAGUGCUCUAGUUAUUGGCGAUUCUAUUGUACGGAACGUGAAUAUAGAGACACCAGCCACCAUAGUCAAAUGUUUACCGGGAGCCAGAGCGCCUGACAUCUUGGCAAAUUUAAAAGUGCUGGCUAAUGCUAAACGUAAAUACAGUAAGAUUGUUAUUCAUGCCGGCGCUAAUGAUGUUCGACUUCGCCAGUCGGAGAUCACUAAAAAUAACUUUAAAGAGGUGUGUGAACUUGCAAGCACGAUGUCAGACACUGUAAUAUGCUCUGGUCCCCUCCCUGCUUACCGUGGUGAUGAGAUGCAUAGCAGAUUGUCAUCACUCAAUGGCUGGAUGUCUAAGUGGUGCCCACAGAAUAACAUAGGUUAUAUAGACAAUUGGACGAGCUUUUGGGGCAGACCUGACCUGUUUAAAAGAGAUGGUCUUCAUCCCUCCUGGGGUGGCGCCACUCUUCUGUCUAGAAAUAUGGCAAAUAGUCUUAGUGUUUAUACUUGACUAACUGGGGCCCAGGUCAGGAAGCAGACAGACUGGCUAAACCGACCGUCUGCUAGCUGCCUCCCGUCACAGAGGUCACCGUGGCCACCAGAUCCAGUCUGUGUCCAGAUCAGAGGGUCACUGCAGUCACCCGGAUCCAGUACGUAUCCAGACCAGAUGGUGGAUCAGCACCUAGAAAGGACCUCUACUGCCCUGAAAGACAGCGGAGACCAGGACAACUAGAGCCACAGAUACAGAUCCCCUGUAAAGACCUUGUCUCAGAGGAGCACCAGGACAAGACCACAGGAAACAGAUGAUUCUUCUGCACAAUCUGACUUUGCUGCAGCCUGGAAUUGAACUACUGGUUUCGUCUGGUCAGAGGAGAACUGGCCCCCCAACUGAGCCUGGUUUCUCCCAAGGUUUUUUUCUCCAUUCUGUCACCGAUGGAGUUUCGGUUCCUUGCCGCUGUCGCCUCUGGCUUGCUUAGUUGGGGUCACUUCAUCUACAGCGAUAUCGUUGACUUGAUUGCAAAUUAAAACCGACACUAUUUCAACUGAACAGAGAUGACAUCAAUGAAUUCAAUGAUGAACUGCCUUUAACUAUCAUUUUGCAUUAUUGAGACACUGUUUUCCAAAUGAAUGUUGUUCAGUGCUUUGGUGCAAUGUAUUUUGUUUAAAGCACUAUAUAAAUAAAGGUGAUUGAUUGAUUGAUAAAA